UUUUCCCUGGCGAAUUUUUAAAAAUGGUACAGUGUAUAUAUAUUUAUUAAUAUCCUGAUAUAAAUUCAUUGUGUGCCAUAUGUAUGACAUAAUGUGCGUUUUAUCAGUGGUUUAAAGGGAAGUGUUGUUAACUUUCUAUUUGGAAAUAAUAUAAUUUUACAUAUCUCACCCUAAAUGUAAAUAUUCGAGUUACUCCAAGAAUAUCCAGAUGGUCAAAAAUUAAAAUGUCAUCACAAUUAAGAUUUUAUGGAUUCUUCCGCUGUCCUGAUUGUAACGCUCACUGGGAGAGCGCCUAUACCUACAAGAAAUCUAGGUAUUCAGAGACUUAUUACGAUCAAGACUGCAAAAGCUGCAACACAGCAUGUCAGCCAUACAA